rnacentral:misc_RNA from 1 species
GUUGGAAUCCAGAUUCUUUUAUACGGCCAACAUUUUCGGAGAUCAUUGUGCGCAUGAAUAAAAUUGUUGCAAACUGUUCAAAACACGGAUGGUUGAAAGAUACUCUAAAGCUUCCCUGGUUAUAGACUGAAACAAACUACAUUGACCAUGGACAAAGCUUAAGAUGUGGAGAAGAAAUAUUGAGACAAGAUUCUUGUGACUAUUCGAUAUAAUUAUGUGGAUGAUAUCAUACUAAACCUUAUGCUGUCUUUGCAAGAAUCGUUGUCCAUCGUGUU